CCUACGGGUGGCAGCAGUGGGGGAUAUUGCACAAUGGGGGGAACCCUGAUGCAGCGACGCCGCGUGGGUGAAGAAGCGUUUCGGCGUGUAAAGUCCUGUUAUCAGGGAAGAAAAUGACGGUAUCUCAAGAAUAAGCACCGGCUAACUACGUGCCAGCAGCCGCGGUAAUACGUAGGGGGCAAGCGUUAUCCGGAUUUACUGGGGGUAAAGGGGGCGCAGACGGGGAUGUAAGCCAGGAGUGAAAGCCCGGGGCCCAACUCCGGGACUGCAUUUGAAACUGCGUGGCUGGAGUGCAGGAGGGGCAGGCGGAAUUCCUGGUGUAGGGGUGAAAUGCGUAGAUAUCAGGAGGAACACCGGUGGCGAAGGCGGCCUGCUGGACUGCAACUGACGUUGAGGCCCGAAAGCGUGGGGAGCAAACAGGAUUAGAUACCCGAGUAGUC
rnacentral:rRNA from 1 species